rnacentral:rRNA from 1 species
GUGCCAGCAGCCGCGGUAAUACGUAGGUGGCAAGCGUUAUCCGGAAUUAUUGGGCGUAAAGCGCGCGUAGGCGGUUUUUUAAGUCUGAUGUGAAAGCCCACGGCUCAACCGUGGAGGGUCAUUGGAAACUGGAAAACUUGAGUGCAGAAGAGGAAAGUGGAAUUCCAUGUGUAGCGGUGAAAUGCGCAGAGAUAUGGAGGAACACCAGUGGCGAAGGCGACUUUCUGGUCUGUAACUGACGCUGGUGUGCGAAAGCGUGGGGAUCAAACAGG